UUUAAGAAUAUAAUAACAACAGUAUGGGACUUGAGAAAUAUGAAAUACAACAAGAUAUCAUUAAUUGGUGACCCCGAUGUGAUGGAGGUAUGCAGCCUGCGAGCUGUAGCAGCCUGAAGAGCUGUGGAAGAUAGGUGUAGCAGCCUGAGAGCUGUAGGACUGUGGGAAAGGCAGCCUAGAGCUGCAGAGGAACAUAAAAAGGGGGAAAUAUAGUGAGAGCCUCUGUAAAAUCUAUGUAUUGGAUAAGUGGGUCCUAGCUAUUCCAAAUGAGCUACAGCUGUGAAGUCCUUGGUUGGGCAGCAGCUGUAGCUUGUAAAGAUAACUGGGAUAAAAGGGGUGGGCUGAGAGCCCUGGUGGAGCCCCUGUGAAGUCACGAGGAACUGUGCUACAGAGAAGAGCUGCAUGGUAGAAAACCAGCUAGAAGGCAUCCAGGCUGAAAAGAGGACAAACCAUGAGCAACACGAAUCAUGCUGGGAGUAAAGAGAAAGUGUGUGGGAGAGCCCUGGGAGAAAGAGUUUGCUGGGAAUGUGAUCCAGGAAGUAAUAAAGGGAGCACAAGAAGUUGGAGGAUAAGGUUAAGGACAGAGAAGCUGUAAAUAACUGCUGAAGUCUUCAAGGGAUGAAGAAAAAAUGAAGAACAGAAUAAAUUUCUCCUUAGUGCAAAGUGAGAUUCACCGAAUUCGAUGUUGCUAUGGUGAUUUAGACCACCUGAGGACCCAGGUUCAACUGUUUAAGGCAAUGCAUAUAAUUAUUCUUUUUAUUUUCACAAAUAGUUAUUUCAGCCUCUUGCUUAUAUAUAAUGUGUUUUAUAAUUCAGAACUCUGCCACAGUUCAACAGCUGGCUGAGGUAUUUGCAAUAGCAAAAGCAGUAGCAGCCUUGACUGGAAAGGUGCAAAUAAGAAGUGUGUUAUGAAACAAAGGCCCUUUACAACUUAAAUGGCAUCUGAAAAAAAUGUGGUAAUUUAACAGGUAAGUAUAAAAGAGGAGAGAAGUAAAAUGCAGUCUUUAGAAGAUUGGUUUCAUUUGAAAAUUAAAGAAAGGACAGUAACAAAGGAUAGAGAGUUUUGUUAUCCAGCAUAGACAGCAGGGAUCCAAGAAUCCAGCAUUACUAGAAACUUCUACAACUUCUGAUAAGUUAUUUAAACCCCUGUGCUUCUGUUUCACAACUUGCAUAAUUGCUGGAACUAAACUUACCCGAAGGAUGCAUUUUGAGACUUCAGUAAUAAUUCCUAAGUGCUUUCAAAAGCACUACAUCAUGUAAGUGAAGAAUGUCAUUAUUAAAAUUGUGCUUCAGAAAUCAUCACUAACAAGGGUUUGUUAUACAGCUAGAACUGCACCAAAGACAUUAUUAGCUUGCAAAUCACAAAGCUCCCAUUGACUCAGGAGAGCAGCAGGGACAGAGCUGUGCUACAAGGGGAGGGCAGGGACACCCAGCAUGAGAGCAGAGGAGCCAUUGCUGGGCUGGGCAGGGGCAGUGUGGCCAUGCUGAGGUCCCAUGGGCUUGGUGCCCCUUCUGGGACCUCACAGUCACAGUUAUUCUGUUCUCAGGUGGUAUUUUUAGAAGAGGAAUUUGUAUGAGUUUAGAGUUCUGGGACACUUUCCUUUGCAUGGAUGUUGGUUUGGUACAGUCAGUGGCUUCAUGUGAUUGAAAAAAUAUGAUGUGAUGUUCACAUGAUUGAGAAAACCUGUCAAGAGGCAUUUCAGAAGACAGCCAGAGACAAUAUAGAGAGGGAGCUUUAUUUAGGAGCAACGAGGAGUGUAUGUAAAAUUUAGCAGAAACAUUAUGUGAAAAGCAAGCCUGCCUCCAUUCCACUUUGCAGAGAAAGGAAUUAAGGCUGUUAGAAAAGGAGUAUUCUCUAAGAGAACACAGUUUGUUUCCUGUAAACUCUAAUACUCUGAAAUCCUAGCAAAGCUGCUUGGGAGUUGGAACAGCUCUACACAAGUUAUUUCCUCUCUCUAACAUGCUUGUCCCACAUGCAGGACAAAUGUUCCUGUAACCUGCUGCCAGCUUUAUGUAAACACUGAGGUGAGUGAUUGUGUAAUUCGAGGUCACUGGAUGCCACGAGUGCCUGCUAAUGUGAAAAGCUUGUUAGCUGUCUAGAUGUCUGGCAUUGUUUAACCAGCUUUGUCUACCAACUCAGACAGAAAAAUCAUCACCUUCCCCAAAAGAAUCUGAGAAGAGGCAUUGUCUUCUGCAAUAGAUAUGUAAUGUUUGUCUUCCAAGAUCCCAGUAUUUCAAAGCAUCCAAAGUAUGUUGUGCAAAGACUAAGCUUUGUACUUAGUUCAGUCUUUUUUAAACUUCUCUCAUAGCCAAGUAGGGCAAAAAGAGUAUUUUGGAAAAUAAUAUUGAAAAGAUUUAAAAUUCUUCCUCUGGUCUGCAAGUUUCAUCAACAAAGACAGAUGCAACUAAGCCUGAGUUGUAUUUGUAGGGCACAUAUUACAUAUGCAUGAACUGAAAAGCUCACCAAGACACACAACAGUGCUGAGCCAGCUGAAGGGUACAAGUUGAUUUUGAAUCCAGACACAGUUAAAAAUCUAAGUGUUCCCACCUUCUAUGAAAGGUGUUAGGAGCAUUCUUCAACUCAAAAGCUGAAGUUGUUGGUUCAGCACUCUGUCUGCAGCGCAGGUACGUGCCAAACCUUCACAGCCAGCAUGGCUCCUGAGGGAGAUGCAUCACUCUGCCUAAGAACCACAUAUUCCUGCAGACAGCAUGGUUAUAUCCUUGAUUUACCUCUUCCAGGACAGCUUUCUGGAGCAAAUGACAAAUGCUUGCCCUGUGCUCAUAAAUCUUAUCUAAGUUUACUCCAAUUGGUCGCAAUGGAAGUACAUAAACUGCUUCAUUUAACCCUGAUGCAUAGAACACAGCCAGGAUCCAAAGCCAGUUUGGUGUUCUUUUACAAACUAUUUAUUUACCCGUGGUAGAGAUAAAAAUGGGACACUCCACAGGGACUCACUGCUGCUGUUGGGGCCCUUCACCCCCUUCAAGAAAAACCUACUGGUGAAGGUGAAACAAACUACAGAGGAGAUACCAAAGGGACUGUAAACAGAAUGACUGCAAUUAGGCUGAAGUUUUACUUUCAUACAAUCAUAGAGCAUCUUGAGUUGGAAGAAACCUACAAGGAUCAUGGACUCCAACCCCUGUCCUGCACAGGCACCCCAACAAUCCCACCCUGUGCCUGAGAGCACUGACCAAACACUCCUGGAGCUCUGACAGCUUUGGGGCCACAACCAUUCCCUGUAAUUCAAGACCUGGAGUGCUUCCUGUCUCAAACAAGCCAGCACCCACUCCUCAUCACUGCUUCUUUUUGGCUGUCGUGUCCCUUACAAAACCAUAAAGAUUCAUAGAGAAUCCUCUAUUUGUCCAUGCAGAGAAAAGUCUUGAGGGUUAGUCAGAAGAAACAAAAGCUGUUUUCAGGGUGUAUUUCAGAUAAAAUAUAUCAUUGUUUAACUUAAAACAGCUCCUCUUGCCUCAGCCUGGGCCACAGAGUCACUGAUGAGGCUGUGCCCUGGUCAGGUGGUGGCUGGGCCCUGUGCCUCCCUUUAAACCUCCUCCCACCUCCCUGUCCCUUCCCUCCUGCCCCAGCUGCUGCCCCUCAGCCCUGCCAGGCACUGCACAGCACACCAGGGCAUCAGAGCAUCGCUGCUCUAAUAUUUAGAAAUGCCAGAACACUUCUAAGGAAGGUGCAUAAAUACUGGGUGGGUUUGGCUAAAGGCUCUCCCCCAGUGCCCCUUCACAGAAUCUUUCAGGUGAGACACCUUUAAAGCUAGAAAGUGAAGUUUAAAAUAAAAAGUAUUCAUUGUGUUCUGGAGAAAACAAGGCAUAGGAAAGUCACUGCAAUCAAUCCAAACUUCUUCCUGUUA